rnacentral:rRNA from 1 species
GUCUAUGGCCAUACCACCCUGAACACGCCUGAUCUCGUCUGAUCUCGUAAGUUAAGCAGGGUCGGGCCUGGUUAGUACUUGGAUGGGAGAAUAUCUACCUGCUUUGGGGA